GCCGAGGUGGCGGAAUUGGUAGACGCAGCGGAUUCAAAAUCCGCCGGUGGUGACACCUUGAGGGUUCAAGUCCCUCUCUCGGUACCA
rnacentral:tRNA from 2 species